rfam:Schistosoma rodhaini strain Burundi genome assembly, scaffold: SROB_scaffold0001122
GCACUGCUGAGGAGUCCCACAAGAGGACGAUACGGCCGUCCAGUGC